rnacentral:rRNA from 1 species
GGACGAACGCUGGCGGCGUGCCUAAUCCAUGCAAGUUGAGCGCUGAAGGUUGGUACUUGUACCAACUGGAUGAGCAGCGAACGGGUGAGUAACGCGUGGGGAAUCUGCCUUUGAGCGGGGGACAACAUUUGGAAACGAAUGCUAAUACCGCAUAAAAACUUUAAACACAAGUUUUAAGUUUGAAAGAUGCAAUUGCAUCACUCAAAGAUGAUCCCGCGUUGUAUUAGCUAGUUGGUGAGGUAAAGGCUCACCAAGGCGAUGAUACAUAGCCGACCUGAGAGGGUGAUCGGCCACAUUGGGACUGAGACACGGCCCAAACUCCUACGGGAGGCAGCAGUAGGGAAUCUUCGGCAAUGGACGAAAGUCUGACCGAGCAACGCCGCGUGAGUGAGGAAGGUUUUCGGAUCGUAAAACUCUGUUGGUAGAGAAGAACGUUGGUGAGAGUGGAAAGCUCAUCAAGUGACGGUAACUACCCAGAAAGGGACGGCUAACUACGUG